UUUCCCUACGGGAGGCAGCAGUGAGGAAUAUUGGUCAAUGGGCGGAAGCCUGAACCAGCAACGCCGCGUGAGGGAAGACGGUUUUCGGAUUGUAAACCUCUGUCCUCUGUGAAGAUAAUGACGGUAGCAGAGGAGGAAGCUCCGGCUAACUCCGUGCCAGCAGCCGCGGUAAUACGGAGGGUGCGAGCGUUAAUCGGAAUUACUGGGCGUAAAGCGCUCGUAGGCGGUAUGUCAAGUCAAGGGUGAAAUCCCCGCGCUCAACGUGGGAACUGCCUUUGAAACUGGCAAACUGGAGUGUGUGAGAG
rnacentral:rRNA from 1 species